AUUGAACGCUGGCGGCAGGCCUAACACAUGCAAGUCGAGCGGAUGAAGGGAGCUUGCUCCUGGAUUCAGCGGCGGACGGGUGAGUAAUGCCUAGGAAUCUGCCUGGUAGUGGGGGAUAACGUCCGGAAACGGGCGCUAAUACCGCAUACGUCCUGAGGGAGAAAGUGGGGGAUCUUCGGACCUCACGCUAUCAGAUGAGCCUAGGUCGGAUUAGCUAGUUGGUGGGUAAAGGCCUACCAAGGCGACGAUCCGUAACUGGUCUGAGAGGAUGAUCAGUCACACUGGAACUGAGACACGGUCCAGACUCCUACGGGAGGCAGCAGUGGGGAAUAUUGGACAAUGGGCGAAAGCCUGAUCCAGCCAUGCCGCGUGUGUGAAGAAGGUCUUCGGAUUGUAAAGCACUUUAAGUUGGGAGGAAGGGCAGUAAGUUAAUACCUUGUUGUUUUGACGUUACCAACAGAAUAAGCACCGGCUAACUUCGUG
rnacentral:rRNA from 1 species